rfam:Gossypium hirsutum cultivar TM-1 chromosome 8, whole genome shotgun sequence
AAUGGGAGAAUGACAAAUUAGAUUUUUGCUCGCCUGAUUUUCAGCUUUUUUCUCUUAAAAAAAUUCAAAUCCAACUAAAAAUGUUGAAAAUCAGAAGGAAAAAUCUGAUUUGUUAUUCUUCCAUU